UGUUAAUCACACUGUUUUAAUAUGAGUACAGUUCAAAAAAUUAGAGUACAAAAUAUCUCACAGGAUCCAAGGGUAGUUGUCGUCUUCACACCAAGUCCAGUCUCCAACGUGCUCAGCAAUAAAAGAGGCAAUCAAAUCCGCGGCGGUGUUCACCUCUCAAAAUACAUGCCGGACAGACUACACAGUAGCGUGACAAAAGUACCUCCAGAUAUGGUGGAGUGGUGGAUGGAUUUUCAGCUCAUGUCUCGCGUAGAUGAUGCCUGCCCAAACAGCAUGAAACUCUACCCCAGUGAUAGAUGGAUCGAAGAUAUGAGAUUCCCCCAGCAGCAAAAAGUCUGGCAUCCUGAUCCUAAACAACACAGCCCAUACUAUCUCUGCCAUCUCUGACACUGUCGUUAAAGUGAGAUCCCCCGACACAAUUUCUUUAAUCAGCAGAUUGCAUGCCUAUGCCUAUCGUUAUUUAAUUGGGCGAAUAGGAUGAGUUUUAUUUAUCUCUAGAGGUGGUAUUUUCAGUUCACGACUCUCAUUUUAGGGUGUUGGUAGACUUCAAAUCGUUCUAGCCGGUCGGAGGUGCCGGUGAAGUCAUCCAUCUUUUAUUCGUGCCUCCGAAUCUGAUGCAGGAUUUCUUUUACCGGAUGCACAAGUGAGCCCCGAAACAAUUGAAGAAUCCCUAGCUUUCUUGUGGUUAUGCUGGAAAAAAAAAAUUAAAUACAAGAGAUCUACUAAAGGAAAAGAAGGAAAUAUUUUGGAGGUUGUACUCUUUAUGAUCAUGGUGAGGAAUCUGUGGAUCACAUUUUCUCUACCAUCUGUAACGCCAUUUGCUCGUUGCUCGGCGUUUCACAUCCUCAAACCUCAUUUAAAGAUCUGGGUGUCGCGUGGAGAAAGAGAUUUUUUUCUUUUUUUUUGAGGUGAGGAGAAAGAGAAAUUUUGCUAAAACAGCUCAGCCUAUUGUUCUCCUUCUCCUUGCCGCUAUAGCAUGGGCAUGCUGGAACAGAAGGAAUGCUAGAGGGUUUCUUUAACAAGCAAAAUUCAAUUGCUUCCACAGCUUUGAAAGGCUAAGUUUUUGCAACCAUUGGUCCUCUCUUUGCGGUCAAAAGCUUCUUCCAGAAUUUAGUGAAAUAUGGACAAAAAUCGGACUCUCUCAUCCUUCCUCCAAGACGAUUAGCUGUUGAACACUUGACCAAGUUUUUUGAAAUGUUGCUGAAGUUGAAAAGUUUCAGUCCUUCCUCAGUUCUUUCUGGUUUGAACUCUGUUUUAUGGAUGGUGGUUAUUUUCCUUUUCCUGUUUAUCGACCGAGACCUUGUAACUAGCCAACUUGAACUGCUCCCCAAGGGAGACAUCAAUAUCUGUCUGUAUAUGCUCCUUUUCUCCCAAGUUUCCCGUGCAU